rnacentral:rRNA from 1 species
UGGGGAAUAUUGGACAAUGGGGGAAACCCUGAUCCAGCCAUGCCGCGUGAGUGAUGAAGGCCUUCGGGUUGUAAAGCUCUUUUAGCAGGGACGAUGAUGACGGUACCUGCAGAAUAAGCCACGGCUAACUUCGUGCCAGCAGCCGCGGUAAUACGAAGGUGGCUAGCGUUGUUCGGAUUUACUGGGCGUAAAGGGAGCGUAGGCGGUCUAUCAAGUCAGGCGUGAAAGCCCGAGGCUUAACCUCGGAACUGCGCUUGAAACUGGUGGACUGGAGUAUGGGAGAGGAUAGCGGAAUUCCUAGUGUAGAGGUGAAAUUCGUAGAUAUUAGGAAGAACACCGGUGGCGAAGGCGGCUAUCUGGACCAUUACUGACGCUGAAGCUCGAAAGCAUGGGGAUCAAA